rnacentral:ncRNA from 1 species
UGGUGCCUGGGGUUACGGCUCCGGGUGAAAAGGGAACCGGGUGUGAAUCCCGGACAGACGGCGCUGCUGUGUGCCCCUGGUGAGAUUCCCGCAGUGGACCACUGCGUGGCGUCCCUGUAGCAAGGGACGACGUGGGAAGGGACAGUGCAAGAAAGGGAAGGGGCGAGUCAGAAGACCUGCCAAAUC